rnacentral:rRNA from 1 species
GACGAACGCUGGCGGCGUGCUUAACACAUGCAAGUCGAGCGGUAAGGCCCUUCGGGGUACACGAGCGGCGAACGGGUGAGUAACACGUGGGUGACCUGCCCUCAGCUCUGGGAUAAGCCUGGGAAGCCGGGUCUAAUACCGGAUAGGACCUUCUCCUGCAUGGGAGUGGGUGGAAAGUUUUUUCGGCUGGGGAUGGGCCCGCGGCCUAUCAGCUUGGUGGUGGGGUGAUGGCCUACCAAGGCGACGACGGGUAGCCGGCCUGAGAGGGCGACCGGCCACACUGGGACUUAGAGACGGCCCAGACUCCUACGGGAGGCAGCAGUGGGGAAUAUUGCGCAAUGGGCGGAAGCCUGACGCAGCGACGCCGCGUGGGGGAUGACGGCCUUCGGGUUAUAAACCUCUUUCGCCAGGGACGAAGCGCAAGUGACGGUACCUGGAUAAGAAGCACCGGCCAACUACGUGCCAGCAGCCGCCGUAACAC